ACCCAGACUCCUACGGGAGGCAGCAGUGGGGAAUAUUGCACAAUGGGGGAAACCCUGAUGCAGCGACGCCGCGUGAGCGAUGAAGUAUUUCGGUAUGUAAAGCUCUACCAGCAGGGAAGAAACAGACGGUACCUGAGUAAGAAGCCCCGGCUAACUACGUGCCAGCAGCCGCGGUAAUACGUAGGGGGCAAGCGUUAUCCGGAUUUACUGGGUGUAAAGGGAGCGUAGACGGCGAAGAAAGUCUGAAGUGAAAGCCCGCGGCUUAACCGCGGAACUGCUUUGGAAACUUUUUUGCUGGAGUACCGGAGAGGUAAGCGGAAUUCCUAGUGUAGCGGUGAAAUGCGUAGAUAUUAGGAGGAACACCAGUGGCGAAGGCGGCCUGCUGGACUGCAACUGACGUUGAGGCCCGAAAGCGUGGGGAGCAAACAGGAUUAGAUACCCGCGUAAGC
rnacentral:rRNA from 1 species